CUGACGGAGCAUGCCGCGUGGAGGAAGACGGCCCGUGGGUUGUAAACUCCUUUUCUCAGAGAAGAAGAAGUGACGGUAUCUGAGGAAUAAGCAUCGGCUAACUCCGUGCCAGCAGCCGCGGUAAUACGGAGGAUGCAAGCGUUAUCCGGAAUCAUUGGGCGUAAAGCGUCUGUAGGUGGCUUUGUAAGUCCGCUGUGAAAGAGUACAGCUUAACUGUAACUAGGCAGUGGAAACUAUGAGGCUGGAGUGUGGUAGGGGUAGAGGGAAUUCCCGGUGUAGCGGUGAAAUGCGUAGAUAUCGGGAAGAACACCAACGGCNAAAGCACUCUGCUGGGCCAACACUGACACUGAGAGACGAAAGCUAGGGUAGCCAAUGGGAUUAGAUACCCCAGUAGUCCUAGCCGUAAACGAUGGAUACUAAGUGGUGCGCGUUUUUAUACCUGCACUGCUGUAGCUAACGCGUUAAGUAUCCCGCCUGGGGAGUAUGCUCGCAAGGGUGAAACUCAAAGGAAUUGACGGGGGCCCGCACAAGCGGUGGAGCAUGUGGUUUAAUUCGAUGCAACGCGCA
rnacentral:rRNA from 1 species